GUUGAACGCUGGCGGCGUGCCUAAUACAUGCAAGUCGAGCGAACAGACGAGGAGCUUGCUCCUCUGACGUUAGCGGCGGACGGGUGAGUAACACGUGGAUAACCUACCUAUAAGACUGGGAUAACUUCGGGAAACCGGAGCUAAUACCGGAUAAUAUAUUGAACCGCAUGGUUCAAUAGUGAAAGACGGUUUUGCUGUCACUUAUAGAUGGAUCCGCGCCGCAUUAGCUAGUUGGUAAGGUAACGGCUUACCAAGGCGACGAUGCGUAGCCGACCUGAGAGGGUGAUCGGCCACACUGGAACUGAGACACGGUCCAGACUCCUACGGGAGGCAGCAGUAGGGAAUCUUCCGCAAUGGGCGAAAGCUUGACGGAGCAACGCCGCGUGAGUGAUGAAGGUCUUCGGAUCGUAAAACUCUGUUAUUAGGGAAGAACAAAUGUGUAAGUAACUAUGCACGUCUUGACGGUACCUAAUCAGAAAGCCACGGCUAACUACGUG
rnacentral:rRNA from 1 species